rnacentral:rRNA from 1 species
UACGUAGGGCGCAAGCGUUGUCCGGAAUUAUUGGGCGUAAAGAGCUCGUAGGUGGUUUGUUACGUCUGCUGUGAAAACCUUGGGCUUAACCCUGGGCCUGCAGUGGAUACGGGCAGACUAGAGGUAGGUAGGGGAGAAUGGAAUUCCCGGUGUAGCGGUGAAAUGCGCAGAUAUCGGGAGGAACACCGGUGGCGAAGGCGGUUCUCUGGGCCUUACCUGACACUGAGGAGCGAAAGCGUGGGGAGCGAACAGG